rnacentral:rRNA from 1 species
UACGAAGGGGGCAAGCGUUGUUCGGAGUUACUGGGCGUAAAGGGCGCGUAGGCGGAUUCGUAAGUCAGAGGUGAAAGCCCUGGGCUCAACCCGGGAAAUGCCUUUGGAACUGCGAGUCUUGAGUACGGGAGAGGAUGGCGGAAUACCCAGUGUAGAGGUGAAAUUCGUAGAUAUUGGGUAGAACACCGGUGGCGAAGGCGGCCAUCUGGCCUGUAACUGACGCUUAGGCGCGCAAGCGUGGGGAGCAAACAGG